UACAUUUCAAAUGUUAUCCCCGUUCCCCCU
rnacentral:piRNA from 1 species